rnacentral:lncRNA from 1 species
GAAGAACUCAAGGGAUAUCCAAAUAACCGGUUGGGGAACCAGUUAGGCUGCCUUGGGAGACUUGAAUCCUUCAAAGGGGCGAGCAAUUCUUAGUUGAUUCCUCAAAUCUCCAAGAGGAAAGAGAGGUCGGUGAAGGGGCGCUCAGGAGAGAGAGCACGGGUAAAAGGAGAAGGUGUUAGUGGUGAAAGGGUAUGAGAGGAUAAAAUUUUACAGUUAAAACCUCGAAGGAGGGUAAAAGUGAUAACUCCUGGGGUCAACCAGUCAAACCGGUCUAGGUAACCGGCCAAAGAAGGGUUGAGCUUUGAGAGAUCUUGGUCCCACUCUUUCUCACAAGAUUGGACAUAAAAUUUUAGAUAGAUACUGGUCCAAAGUUGACGUGUCUUAGAAGAAGUUUUUGAUAAUCCAAGUAUGCCAUCACUUCUUGAUUCUUCCAAGAGAGAUGUGAGACAUAGAGAAAGAUUUAUAGACUUGAUAAAAUCUCACCACUUGUGACUAGCCAUCAAUCAAUCAAAGUAAAUAAUAGUCACAAGUAGGUCAAUUGAGUCACAGAAACCAAGAGCCAAAUAUUUUCAAAAUAAU